CUGCGUGGAAGGGCCAUCGCUCAACGGAUAAAAGCUACCCUGGGGAUAACAGGCUUAUCUCCCCCAAGAGUCCACAUCGACGGGGAGGUUUGGCACCUCGAUGUCGGCUCAUCACAUCCUGGGGCUGCAGUAGGUCCCAAGGGUUGGGCUGUUCGCCCAUUAAAGUGGUACGCGAGCUGGGUUCAGAACGUCGUGAGACAGUUCGGUCCCUAUCCGUCGCAGGCGGAGGAAAUUUGAGAAGACCUGUCCUUAGUACGAGAGGACCGGGAUGGACGUACCUCUGGUGUACCAGUUGUUCUGCCAAGGGCAUGGCUGGGUAGCUAUGUAUGGAAUGGAUAAGCGCUGAAAGCAUC
rnacentral:rRNA from 1 species